CGGGUCAUAGCGCAGUUGGCUAGCGCGCAUGCAUGGGGUGCAUGAGGUCGUGAGUUCGAGUCUCAUUGGCCCGA
rnacentral:tRNA from 1 species